rnacentral:rRNA from 1 species
AUUGAACGCUGGCGGCAUGCUUUACACAUGCAAGUCGAACGGCAGCGCGGGCUUCGGCCUGGCGGCGAGUGGCGAACGGGUGAGUAUUGCAUCGGAACGUGCCCAGUAGUGGGGGAUAGCCCGGCGAAAGCCGGAUUAAUACCGCAUACGACCUGAGGGUGAAAGCGGGGGACCGAAAGGCCUCGCGCUAUUGGAGCGGCCGAUGUCGGAUUAGCUAGUUGGUGGGGUAAAGGCUUACCAAGGCGACGAUCCGUAGCUGGUCUGAGAGGACGACCAGCCACACUGGGACUGAGACACGGCCCAGACUCCUACGGGAGGCAGCAGUGGGGAAUUUUGGACAAUGGGGGCAACCCUGGUCCAGCCAUGCCGCGUGCGGGAAGAAGGCCUUCGGGUUGUAAACCGCUUUUGUUCGGGAAGAAAUCCUCUGGGCUAAUACCCCGGGGGGAUGACGGUACCGGAAGAAUAAGCACCGGCUAACUACGUG